rnacentral:misc_RNA from 1 species
UGCCUGUUCGAGCGUCAUUAUGACCACUCAAGCUUAGCUUGGUAUUGGGGUUCGCGUGCUCGCGGCUCUUAAAAUCAGUGGCGGUGCCGUCUAGCUCUAAGCGUAGUAAUUCUCUCGCUAUAGGGUUCCGGCGGUUGCUUGCCAAAACCCCCAUUUCUUAGGUUGACCUCGGAUCAGGUAGGGAUACCCGCUGAACUUAA